rnacentral:misc_RNA from 1 species
AAGAGUUGCAAAACUCCCUUCAUACCUUCGCGAACGCUACCCGAUUCUCGUUGCUUCGGCGGGGGUCCCCUCUCCAAAACGGGAGCCCCCGCCGGAGGAACGCAGCCAUAUACUCUUGUAUUUGCUGGCCUCUCUGAGUACGAUUUAUGCGAAUAAGUCA